ACACACGGGCACACACCCUGUCUCCUUUCUCCACCCCCCAAGCUAGUUGCAUUUAGCUCUAGCUUGGGCUAGAGCUAGGGCUUGGGCUAGAGCUAGGGCCUGGGCUGCGAUUUGAAAGAGCUUAGGGGGCAACAAACAGAGUGGCCAUGGGGGUGCCUUCGACUGACAGCUGCCCUGGCGCCUAGGACCUCCGGGAGGGGAUGCAGCUGGGGAUCUAGGGAAGCAUUUCCACCCCGUCCUCUCCUCAACCCUGGCAGGGUGAGCCAUCCCUGUAGAGCCCCCUUCCUGCCUCUCAGUGCCUCCUGCCUCACUUCCCAGGCUACUGCUGCUUCAAGACAGUGACAUUUCUCUCUGGCCUGCUGUCAGGAGCUCUGGUCUGUUCCUGGUUUCCCAGAUGCAUAAAGGAAGAUAUAUCCCUCCCCUGGGCAGCAAGGCUAUAAUGGGAGGGAGGGAGAACAUGGGAGCAUGUGAAUAAAAUGGCAUUAAAUACUGAACCAGGGA